rnacentral:rRNA from 1 species
UACGGAGGAUGCGAGCGUUAUCCGGAUUUAUUGGGUUUAAAGGGUGCGUAGGCGGACUGUCAAGUCAGCGGUAAAAUUGAGAGGCUCAAUCUCUUCCCGCCGUUGAAACUGGUGGUCUUGAGUGGAUGAGAAGUACGCGGAAUGCGUGGUGUAGCGGUGAAAUGCAUAGAUAUCACGCAGAACUCCGAUUGCGAAGGCAGCGUACCGGCAUCCAACUGACGCUGAGGCACGAAAGCGUGGGGAUCAAACAGG